AUAGCUCAGUUGGUAGAGCGCUACCUUGCCAAGGUCGAGGUCACGAGUUCGAGUCUCGUU
rnacentral:tRNA from 1 species